CACGUAGGUGGCCAGGUCAGUCCGUUGUGAAAGCCCCCGGCUCAACCGGGGAACUGCAUCGGAUACUGCCUGGCUCGAGGACGGCAGGGGUGAGUGGAACUCCAGGUGGAGCGGUGAAAUGCGUAGAUAUCUGGAGGAACACCGGUGGCGAAAGCGGCUCACUGGGCCGUCCCUGACACUGAGGUGCGAAAGCCAGGGGAGCAAACG
rnacentral:rRNA from 1 species